GUCUUUGUCAUCUUGCUCAUCACAUCAACUUCGUCACUUUGCGUGGCUGCCCGACCCGGAGCAUCAGCUGAGCUCAACAACGACGACAAGCUCUCUGAAGGCAAAACCACCAACCAAAACACCAAGGGUGGAAACGGGUAUGACGCCGGGAUGGAUGGAUUCUUUGGACCCGGAUCAGGUAUACCCGGGUUCGGAAAUGGGAUAGUAGGUGGCGGGUAUGGAGCCGGGUACGGAGGUCCGAAUGGAGGGUACUCAAGAGGUGGUGUAAUUAGGCCUAGUGUGGUGUGUAAGGAGAGAGGUCCUUGUUACAUGAAGAAACUGACGUGUCCGAAAAAGUGCUUCACCUCUUACAGCCGUUCAGGGAAGG
rnacentral:lncRNA from 1 species